UGAUUUUCAAGCCUACUACAGAAACAAAGAGAUGCCUGGGAACUACAUUUUCCAUUGUCCCUUGGUAAAAGUUUCAGGUUAGAUUGAGAAACGUUGGGCACAAUUUGGAAGACAGAAGAGAAGACAUGAUUUUUCCACUGCACUUGUGAGAAGACACAUAGGCACUAAGCAAGUGCUCUUUGACAGAAAUCCCAGAUCAUGAACAUACAUGAAAAUAUUCAUGGAGAAUUGUCUCCUACCAAAUUUUAUGGAAAACUCAUAUUUCAAAAAAAGACACGUCUAAGAAUGAGGCCAAGCUACAUUUGACAGCAUUUCUCCCCUAUCAUUUUAAACUGAAAAUCCCAAGACUGAUAAAAUUUCAAAACUAAGCUGAAAUAAGAAGAAGGAAAAUAGUGUUUCCGGUGUUUAUCAUUCCACUGGCCCAACAACAACAGCCAAUCAUAUUCAACUGAAAUAAUUUCAAAUUACUUAUUUAAUACUAGAUGUAUGCCAACUAGGAUAUUAGAUAUAAAAAUACCAAGUAAUAUAAUUUAUGUCUUUAAGUUCAAUAGCUACCAGGGAACAUAGACAUGUUAACAAUUAAUUAUAAAACAAUCCUAGAGUGUCUUUUUUAAUUGUGUUUACAAAGUUUUAUCAAAGCCUAGGGGAAUCAGUCACUUGGUUUUACACAAGUUAUUUGGUCAAGUGAACUUUUUUUUUUUUUUUUCACAGAUUGAAGCAUCUGACUAUUUCUAACACUGUGAUCCACAGUAUUAAGACAAUUAAAAUGCCAUAUUUAGGGAAUAUAUAAAUGUAUUAUUUUUCUUUAUGCAAAUUUCAAGUUGUUUAUUAUAUUCAGAAUGAGAAACAUUACAAAUAUAGAAAAUGCUGCAAAGUCAGCUUGGUUUUUGUACUUUCAUAUGAACUAGUCUCUGAGUACCCAGAUUAAUUAGCUAAUCACUGCAUUGUCAAGUCUCUAUAAUGCUCUCUGCUGUAUCCUAUCACUGACUUUUUCUGGGUUAAGAUUUAUUUUGGGAAUUGAGAGCCAAGGCUGGAACACACUGAACAGAGUGUUCUAUUUCUGUGUGAAAUGAUAGAUGUUGCUCUUGCCCAGAAUGAAAAUGCUUUGCACUGCUCCCAAUCUGUAAAUUGUUCCAUUUGCUUGGCAUAAUAAGUAUACUGAUGUAUUUAAUUCUGUCUACCAGGCCCAUGCUGUUCAAUUCCCCUCUGCUAGCCAAAUAUACCAGAAGUCAUAAAUUUCUCUCCAAUAAGGAAACUAAAUGUGAUCUCUUCUAUAAGUAAAAGCAGUGUUAGUGUCCUGUUAUUAUUUUUUGGAGUUACCGUAUGUUUUAAAUCCAAGAUUAGCAAAAGAUUUGUUAUAAUCUUUUCACUUUUAUCAACUACUUAGUCCAGCAAACAUACCGACAAAAUAAUUGUAUAUGCUCAAAGGUACAGUCUGUGGAAAUGAUUCGAUGUUUGUAUAACUACCACUUUCUUUCAAAAUGAACCUUCAUUUUGUUCUCUCCUUUUCACAUACAUCAAAUGAAAAAAAGACUGUUUUGACUUCAUAUAUUAAAAGAUGAAAUGACU
rnacentral:lncRNA from 10 species